GCAGGAUCACGUUCAUCACGCGGCGAAAUGAGAAAAGGCAUCCGUCAACCGCCGCUUAAUUAUUUGCGACCGGUGAGAGGGGUUGCUCUACAGCACAGUCGUUUUCCGAUAAGAUUCAGCGGCCGCACGAGGACUACAGAAAAUGAAAGAGGGGCAUAGUGAUGAUGCGGUCGGUGGCGAGCUCUAGAGGGCUAGGGUUCCAAUGCUUCAGCCUAUUUGUUCUUCGGCAGUAGCGGCGAAGCCCAGCAUCAAAUUCUAGCCCAAUUCAAGUUGAAAAGCUUCAUCAAAUCCGAGCCCUCUGAUUAAAAUCAAAAGGGUAGAAAAUCGAGUGUUGAGCAGCUCAGAAACACCCCAUUUCUAAAUCAACACAAAAGAGAAAACAAAUCUGAGCCACAGAAUCAUGAUCAAACGUUCAGAAAAUCGACAUACCGUUAUGUGCUCACAACAGGUAUCCAGCCGAGUAGUGCCCUCCUUGCAGCCCAUAUACUUGAGUUGUGCAGGCGCUGACCACACCGGGCCAUAUCGUCCGUGUAUUCAUAACUGAAAUUUAUUGAGUUCACUGUAUUCAGGGUUAUAUUUCUCUCUGUGAAGAUGGAUUAAUUCCCUGCUCAUCACUUGAAUACUCUUUGUUUAUGGCAUUUCUUAAAGUUGUAUCUCCAGGGCAUAAUGAUGAGCCUUUUUGUACUUGUGCAUGUAGUAUAUUUUGAUGUAUGUCACAUGAAUAGUUAGCCUUUUGUAGUUUUCUUUCUUUUUUACUCUUUCGUGAGUUGUGAGAGAUGUUAUUGUAAUAUUUUGGACCUGAUAUAGAUGUUCUUAUAUAUCAGUUCUUAUAUUGUAACACAGAUUUGAUUAAUAUUUAGUUUUGGAACGAUCUUGUUCAUCUUGUUUAAUCCUUAUGUGCUUUGCCCUUACUUAUUACGAU